rnacentral:rRNA from 1 species
GACGAACCGUGCGAACGUUAUUCGGAAUCACUGGGCUUAAAGCGCGUGUAGGCGGGCCGGCACGUCGGACCCUGAAAGCCCCCGGCUCAACCGGGGAAGCGGGGCCGAUACGACCGGCCUGGAGGGGCGUAGGGGGACCUGGAACUUCCGGUGGAGCGGUGAAAUGCGUUGAGAUCGGAAGGAACGCCCGUGGCGAAAGCGAGGUCCUGGACGCCUGCUGACGCUGAGACGCGAAAGCCAGGGGA